rnacentral:rRNA from 1 species
GAUGAACGCUAGCGGCAGGCUUAAUACAUGCAAGUUGAGGGGCAGCAUGAUAUACGCGAGUAUAUUGAUGGCGACCGGCGGACGGGUGAGUAAUAGGUAGGAGACCUACCUCAUACAGGGGGAUAGCAUAGAGAAAUCUGUGGUAAUACCCCAUGAGGUUAUAUGAAUAGAGGCAUAUAAUCAAAGCAUAAGCGAUUAUGCGGUAUGAGAGGGGCCUACUGACCAUUAGCUAGUUGGUGAGGUAAGGGCUCACCAAGGCGAAGAUGGUUAGGGGUUUUGAGAGAGAGACCCCCCACAUUGGAACUGAGAGACGGUCCAGACUCCUACGGGAGGCAGCAGUAGGGAAUAUUGGGCAAUGGGCGAAAGCCUGACCCAGCCAUGCCGCGUGAAGGAAGACGGCCUUAUGGGUUGUAAACUUCUUUACUACGCGAAUAGAGGUUAGUACGAGAUACUAAUGGAAGGUAGUGUAGUAAAAAGCAACCGGCUAACUCCGUGCC